CCCUUAGAUGUCCUGGGCCGCACGCGCGCUACACUGAUGCAUUCAACGAGUAUUUCCUUGGCCGAGAGGCCUGGGCAAUCUUUUAAACCUGCAUCGUGAUAGGGAUAGAUUAUUGCAAUUAUUAAUCUUGAACGAGGAAUUCCUAGUAAACGCAAAUCAUCAAUUUGCAUUGAUUACGUCCCUGCCCUUUGUACACACCGCCCGUCGCACCUACCGAUUGAAUGGUCCGGUGAAAUCUCGGGAUUGUGGCCAGUUCACUUUAUCGGGAGUUGGCUGCGAGAACUUGCUUAAACCUUAUCAUUUAGAGGAAGGUGAAGUCGUAACA
rnacentral:rRNA from 1 species